rnacentral:lncRNA from 1 species
AGCUAGGUGGAGAGAUCCUGAAUAUGGGGAAAAAAUAUUAGUCUAGAGCUUUAGAGAAAGGUUGGAGCUAGAGAUAGACGUUUUGGAGGAUUCUUUUUUUUUAAAGAUUUUAUUUUUUCCUUUUUCUCCCCAAAGCCCCCCAGUACAUAGUUGUAUAUUCUUCGUUGUGGGUCCUUCUAGUUGUAGCAUGUGGGACGCUGCCUCAGCGUGGUUUGAUGAGCAGUGCCAUGUCGGUGCCCAGGAUUCGAACCAACGAAACACUGGGCUGCCUGCAGCGGAGCGCACAGACUUAACCACUCGGCCACGGGGCCAGCCCCCAUUUUGGAGGAUUCUUAAUCAAGAUGAUGAAGUGUGAGGGUAGAUAAGAUUGUUAAGAGGGUGGUGGUGGAGAAGAGAACCUAGCUGAAGGAAAACUUUGAGGAAUACUGAGUUAGGAUAUCCAAUAAAAAAGAUUCUUCUGCAAAAUAGAGGAUCAGAGAAAAAAAGCUAAAAAGGAAGUUGCAGUAACAGCCCUCAAUUCAGCUGAAGGCCAGAGAAAGCGUGGACAACUCAAGAGACUCUGGUAAUUAAUGAGUCAUCAAGAAAUCACCAAUGAGCAGCUUCGGUUAGUUUGGGGUGGAGAGUGGAAGUCAAGAUGCAAAAGAGUUGGAGUCAGUGGGUGAUGAAGAAUUAGCAACAAGCCGUGAAGGAAACUCUUUCUAUCAUUUGGGUAGGAAAAGAAUAGAGAGGGCUCAGCUGAAACAGCACUGAUGAACAUAGAUGGAAUGUCACAGCAGCAGGUGAGUCCUGAAAUACUACUUGAGGGUGGGGUUUCCUGUAUGUCCUUGGACCCCGGCCUUCCCUCACUCAGACAGCUCAGCCUUGCAGUAUUUAUGGCCUCAGGGAAGGGGUGCUGCAGGCAAGUAUUUCUCAGGGUAUCAUCAAUACCUUUGGAGGAAUACAAGGCUCUCUGGUUUUGUGAUGAGAUAAAGAGCUCCUGGCUGAGGGAGGAGGAGGGUCGUAGGGGAAGUGAGAGAUGUAUUUUUAGACGUCUUUAAAUGAAUGGAAUUUCAUGAAGACAAGAAUGAAAGGCGUCAUGACUUUGGUAAUCUCCCUCCUUACUGAGUCUCCGCCUUCCCCUUCUAUAUGCAACCAUUUUUAAGAGAAAAUUUUGGCAUCAGCAAGCAGUCCAGAUUAGGAGGAGGAAGGAAAGGGACUUCCCUUCAAACCUCACUGGAACUAUUUAUCGGAUCUUAAAGGGAGACUGAUUUGCUCCCUUAAUGAGAGCAAGCACAGCUCUGAGUCUCUCUCCAUAUGAGGUACAACAGAUUUUUCCAAGACAGAUUGACAUUCUCACAGCUGGAAGAAUACUCAGGUUUGCAUAAAUGGUCAACAUUCUCCGAAUCACCACAGCAGAGAGAUGAAGAAGAACAAUGGAGUCUUUUUUGUGGCCUUUGCUAGAGAAGGCACUAAGCAUCCCAUUUCACCAAGACAGACGAUCGUUUCACUGAAGACAUGCAAAAGAAAGACUGUGCCAUCGAUUCUAAGGAGAAUUCCAAAACAUUCUGAGCAUGGUGUUUAUGCUACUCAUUCAGACAUUUGGUCUCAUUUGAAAAAGGAAAUCUCAUUGUUUAGGAAUUAGAGCUCAGAUACGUUUAAAUAAAAAUACCACAGAAUGUUUAAAGGUGUAGUGCUUUAUAUAUAAAAUAUUGUUUACCUUAGUUGACAUUUUUAAUUUUCUUUGCAUUGAGCGUAAUGAAUAAAGAAACAGCGGGAUCUUGAAAU